rnacentral:rRNA from 1 species
AAUUCGAGCGGAUGAAGAGAGCUUGCUCUCUGAUUCAGCGGCGGACGGGUGAGUAAUGCCUAGGAAUCUGCCUGGUAGUGGGGGACAACGUCUCGAAAGGGACGCUAAUACCGCAUACGUCCUACGGGAGAAAGCAGGGGACCUUCGGGCCUUGCGCUAUCAGAUGAGCCUAGGUCGGAUUAGCUAGUUGGUGAGGUAAUGGCUCACCAAGGCGACGAUCCGUAACUGGUCUGAGAGGAUGAUCAGUCACACUGGAACUGAGACACGGUCCAGACUCCUACGGGAGGCAGCAGUGGGGAAUAUUGGACAAUGGGCGAAAGCCUGAUCCAGCCAUGCCGCGUGUGUGAAGAAGGUCUUCGGAUUGUAAAGCACUUUUAAGUUGGGAGGAAGGGCAGUAAAUUAAUACUUUGCUGUUUGACGUUACCGACAGAAUAAGCACCCGGCUAACUCUUGUGCCACAGCCGCGGU